rnacentral:rRNA from 1 species
AACGAACGCUGGCGGCAGGCCUAACACAUGCAAGUCGAGCGCACCUUCGGGUGAGCGGCGGACGGGUUAGUAACACGUGGGAACGUACCCUUUUCUAAGGAAUAACCAUUGGAAACGAUGACUAAUGCCUUAUACGCCUCGGGAAGAUUAUCGGAGAAGGAUCGGCCCGCGUUAGAUUAGAUAGUUGGUGGGUAAUGGCCUACCAAGUCUACGAUCUAUAGUUGAUUUGAGAGGAUGAUCAGCAACACUGGGACUGACGACACGGUCCCAGACUCCUACGGGAGGCAGCAGUGGGGAAUCUUAGACAAUGGGCGCAAGCCUGAUCUAGCCAUGCCGCGUGAGUGAUGAAGGUCUUAGGAUCGUAAAGCUCUUCGUCCAGGGAUGAUAAUGACAGUACCUGGUAAAG